rnacentral:rRNA from 1 species
CACGUAGGGGGCAAGCGUUGCUCGGAAUCACUGGGCGUAAAGGGUGCGUAGGCGGGUCUUUAAGUCAGGGGUGAAAUCCUGGAGCUCAACUCCAGAACUGCCUUUGAUACUGAGGAUCUUGAGUACGGGAGAGGUGAGUGGAACUGCGAGUGUAGAGGUGAAAUUCGUAGAUAUUCGCAAGAACACCAGUGGCGAAGGCGGCUCACUGGCCCGUAACUGACGCUGAGGCACGAAAGCGUGGGGAGCAAACAGG